UACGGAGGGUGCAAGCGUUAUCCGGAUUCACUGGGUUUAAAGGGUGCGUAGGCGGGUAGGUAAGUCAGUGGUGAAAUCUUCGAGCUUAACUCGGAAACUGCCUUUGAUACUAUCUAUCUUGAAUAUUGUGGAGGUAAGCGGAAUAUGUCAUGUAGCGGUGAAAUGCUUAGAUAUGACAUAGAACACCUAUUGCGAAGGCAGCUCACUACGGAUAUAUUGACACUGAGGCACGAAAGCGUGGGGAUCAAACAGG
rnacentral:rRNA from 1 species